GCUCAGUUGGUUAAGUGGUUGACUCUUGAUUUUGGCUCAGGUUAUGAACUCUUGGUCAUGGGUACAAGCCCCACAUUGGGCU
rnacentral:tRNA from 1 species